rfam:Candidatus Woykebacteria bacterium GWA1_44_8 gwa1_scaffold_4413, whole genome shotgun sequence.
GCUGGGGUGCCGGAGUGGUCAAUCGGAGCGGUCUGUAAAACCGUCGCCCUUACGGGCUACGGGGGUUCGAAUCCCUCCCCCAGCA